ACGCUUACACUUUAAGGUGUGAGUGUCCACUGGUAGACUUUUUUUUUGGCAGAGUGUAUGAAAUCGACCGUAGGAGAGCGAGGAGGGGACUGAUGACUUGACCUUAAGAUUGGUAAACGUGCUCAAGUGUCGAGGCUAAGAAACUACGACACUAUCAAGUAGAUUGUACACGGAUACUGUUGGUCGUUGCCCUCUGCCGCAUGUACCGAUAUCUUCUGUGUAGCUUAGGGCCAGUUUCGUAUCAACCAAUACGAAACGACUGCAAGGCUAUGAAGAGAUAGCUAUUCUGGUGGAUCUACUAGCUCUUUGCGGACGUGCCAAAUAAUUCCGUAUGACAUGAGUGUGUUGUUCAAGGUCAAUUACAUAAUUGAUUGGCUCGAACAGCAUUUUAAACGAUGCAUGACAGGAGUAAGUGAUGGCGUUACCUAAGCUCGAAGGCUGGUUCAAUAGGUGUGAGCUAUUGCUGCAGUGUAGCUCGGGUACUACCUGGUGUGGCUAUCUUAACUGACCACGCUAUAGUACUGAAAAGGAUGAGAUCACAUCUGUCUUGAGGAUCAGUCACGUUUUGAAUACUUUGACAGAAUCCGAUUUUCAGCCGAAGGUCUUGCUUUUAUACAUUUGCAGAGGGAGAAGAAUUUCAGGUUGCACACGCUUCUAAAUUCGCAUAACCCCACUCACACUCAAAACCAUACCACACACCAGAGAUGAUACUGUCUAUUCUAUGACAGGUAUAGAGUUUGGCGAGAUUGAAUAAGAGUCACCUUAACGGUUACAAUUCAAAUUGUAGCGGUUAAGGUAACCUUUGUUCAGUCUGGCCAAACACUGUGCAGUGCCUUACUAAAUCGCUGGUGUCUUGAACGGUUGGUCAAACUUGACGUAUUGACGUAACCCAACGACAGCUAGAUUAAUUAAAGAAAUCAAGUUCGAUAGCAAAAGAGUUGGGUGACCGUGAACAAUUUUGAGGCAGAACAAAUUUUGAAAAGUGAACCUUUACAUACCAGAGAUGAUACUGUCUAAUUUAUGACAUGUAUAGAUUUUAGCGAGAUUGAAUAAGAGUUACCUUAAUGGUUACAAUUCUAAUUGUAGCGGUUAAGGCAACCUUUCUGAAUCGCUGUUGUCUCGAACGGUUGGUCAAACUUGUCUUAUUGAUAUAACCUAGCGGCAGAUAAAUCAAAUAAAGAAAUUAAGGU
rnacentral:precursor_RNA from 1 species